UAGAACUUUCUCCAGUUGUCGGUGGGUCUGCUCUAGAACUUUCUCCAGUUGUCGGUAGGUCUGCUCUAGAACUUUCUCCAGUUGUCGGUAGGUCUGCUCUAGAACUUUCUCCAGCUGUCGGUAGGUCUGCUCUAGAACUUUCACCAGCUGUCGGUAGGUCUGCUCUAGAACUUUCUCCAGUUGUCGGUAGGUCUACUCUAGAACUUUCUCCAGUUGUCGGUGGGUCUGCUCUAGAACUUUCUCCAGUUGUCGGUAGGUCUGCUCUAGAACUUUCUCCAGUUGUCGGUGGGUCUGCUCUAGAACUUUCUCCAGUUGUCGGUAGGUCUGCUCUAGAACUUUCUCCAGUUGUCGGUAGGUCUGCUCUAGAACUUUCUCCAGCUGUCGGUAGGUCUGCUCUAGAACUUUCACCAGCUGUCGGUAGGUCUGCUCUAGAACUUUCUCCAGUUGUCGGUAGGUCUACUCUAGAACUUUCUCCAGUUGUCGGUAGGUCUGCUCUAGAACUUUCUCCAGUUGUCGGUAGGUCUACUCUAGAACUUUCUCCAGUUGUCGGUAGGUCUGCUCUAGAACUUUCUCC